rnacentral:misc_RNA from 1 species
GCAUAAAAGCGGCGACCCCAGAAGGGACGCCGAAGCACGAUGUUUUGCUUCCACAGGUUUGAAGGGUAGAAGGUCAAAGACCAUUCAAUAAUGAUCCCUCCGCAGGUUCACCUACGGAGACCUUGUUACGACUUUUACUUCCUCAAAAUGACCAAGA